AGAAUCAACGCUGGCGGCGUGCCUAACACAUGCAAGUCGAACGAGAAAGUGGAGCAAUCCAUGAGUAAAGUGGCGCACGGGUGAGUAACACGUGACUAACCUACCUUUUAGUGGGGAUAACCUAGGGAAACCUGGGCUAAUACCGCAUAACACUUACGAGUCAAAGCAGCAAUGCGCUGAAAGAGGGGUCGCGGCCGAUUAGCUAGUUGGCGGGGUAAUGGCCCACCAAGGCAGUGAUCGGUA
rnacentral:rRNA from 1 species